UGUCCGAAGAAAGCGAUCCAUAUACUGAUCUAUUCGGAUCAUCACCAUCGUCAUGAUGAUCUUAUAAUCAGGAGCAAUUUAAGAAUUAACCAUCAAUGACACGUCUCAAAUUCUUAACUCUUUGAGAAUAUGUGUCGUCAUCUUGUGAAUUUCUUGGAUGAUUUAUGGAUACAUAAAACAUGAAUGAUAAUAUAAAUACUCAUAAAGUACAAAAAUAUGUCCUAGAAAUAUAAUAUGCGUC
rnacentral:lncRNA from 1 species